GACGAACGCUGGCGGCGUGCUUAACACAUGCAAGUCGAACGGAAAGGCCCUGCUUUUGUGGGGUGCUCGAGUGGCGAACGGGUGAGUAACACGUGAGUAACCUGCCCUUGACUUUGGGAUAACUUCGGGAAACUGGGGCUAAUACCGGAUAGGAGCUCCUGCUGCAUGGUGGGGGUUGGAAAGUUUCGGCGGUUGGGGAUGGACUCGCGGCUUAUCAGCUUGUUGGUGGGGUAGUGGCUUACCAAGGCUUUGACGGGUAGCCGGCCUGAGAGGGUGACCGGCCACAUUGGGACUGAGAUACGGCCCAGACUCCUACGGGAGGCAGCAGUGGGGAGUAUUGCACAAUGGGCGGAAGCCUGAUGCAGCAACGCCGCGUGCGGGAUGACGGCCUUCGGGUUGUAAACCGCUUUCGCCUGUGACGAAGCGUGAGUGACGGUAAUGGGUAAAGAAGCACCGGCUAACUACGUG
rnacentral:rRNA from 1 species